UCUUAUUAAAAGUAUAGCCCUCACUACAAAUGGAGUCGAGGGUCUUUUUUUUUUGGCCAAGGGACCAAGUCAGGGCAGGUCUGACAAAUUCCAGCAUUAGACUGGCGUUCAAGACUGGACAUCCUGCACUGGAUAAGCAUCAUGUAUGAGUCCAGCCAACAAACUACAAUGCGUAGUUGCUUAGCACAAUGUGUGAACAGACACACCUUUGAUGAAGCAUUUGAUAAAGCGGCCUGCUCCAGGCACAGCAAGCCACCAGCUUCCGGCAUCACGGACAGUCAAGACUCCAGCAUUUACCAGCUGCCUGAAGAAAAGGCAGAAAGGGAAAAAUUAAAUGUCCGUUGUGAUUUAUUCCAUGACCAACAAUGUAUAGCUGAUUUGUAGACUAAUGUUUUCUGCCUUUUCAGACAGGCAAAGUCAAUGGGGAAGCCAGAUUAACUUAACAACCGUGUUACUAACUUAACAAUGCAGCAAUUCGCUUAACAACUGUGGCCCGGAAGCUUAUAAAAUGGGGGGAAAACUGAACGUCUAUCUUGCGUAGCAACUGAAAAUUUGGGCUUAACUGUGGUCAUAAGUCGAGGACUACCUGUUCAGAAGACGGCUAUCCUUGUAUGAAUUGUCAAAGAACAUCCCAAGGUAUCUAAUUAGCCACUGUGGGAAACAGGACCAUAAAAUGAGAGAAGACUAUAACUUAAUCCUGUGAGAUUUAAGUUCUCCCAAAGGUUGCCUUUUGUAACAUGAACAUGCAUUCUCAGAAAGCAGAGAGACUUAUUUGCCAUGGUAGCGCAGUGGUAAUAGUGGGAGCACCUACCCUCUGGAACGAACUUCCCCCCGGUUUACGCCAAUUGCCUGACCUUCGGACCUUUCGCCGGGAACUGAAAACUUAUUUAUUUAUUCAAGCGGGACUGGCCUGAUUUUUAAAUUCUAAAUUUUAAAUUUUUAAUUGUAAUUUUACUGGGUAUUUUAUAUGGUCAAUUGGACGGUUUUAAUUUCGGCCUUUUAUUGAAUAAGCUUUUUAAUUGUUAUUUUAAUAUGUAUAUUAAUUGUUUUAAAUGAAGGCUGUACACCGCCCUGAGUCCUUCGGGAGAAGGGCGGUAUAAAAGUUUAAUUAAUUAAUUAAUUAAAUAAAUAAAUAAAUAGUGUAAUACUGCUGUCUACUUCUUCUGACUGCUGGCUGCCUAAAAUUUGGCAAUUUGACUCUCACCAGGCUCAAGGUUGACUCAGCCUUCCUUCCUUCCAAGGUGGGUAAAAGGAGGACCCAGACUGUUGGGGGCAAUAGGCUGACUCUGUAAACUGCUUAGAGAGGAUUGUCAAGCACAAUGAAGCAGUAUAUAAGUCCGAAUGCUAUUGCUAUUUGUCUUUAAAUCACAAACAAAACCAUGUAGCGGUGUUUCUUAACUUUGGCAGUUUUAAGAUGGGUGGAGUUCAACUCCCAGAAUUUCCCAGCCAACAAGACACACAAUGAAUGAGCUUAAUUUGGAGAAAAAGUCGACAAACAGUGAAAGGAGGGGGGG